rnacentral:rRNA from 1 species
UCGAGAAUCUUCCGCAAUGGGCGAAAGCCUGACGGAGCGACGCCGCGUGCGGGAUGAAGGCCUUCGGGUUGUAAACCGCUGUCAGAGGGGAGGAAAUUUUGACCGAUCCUCAGAGGAAGCACAGGCUAAGUUCGUGCCAGCAGCCGCGGUAAUACGAACUGUGCAAACGUUAUUCGGAAUCACUGGGCUUAAAGGGUGCGUAGGCGGGUUUAAAGGUCUGAUGUGAAAGCCCACGGCUCAACCGUGGAAUUGCGUUGGAAACCAUGAACCUUGAGGGAGUCAGAGGUAAGCGGAACUGAUGGUGGAGCGGUGAAAUGCGUUGAUAUCAUCAGGAACACCGGUGGCGAAAGCGGCUUACUGGGACUCUUCUGACGCUGAGGCACGAAAGCUAGGGGAGUGAACGGGAUUAGAUACCCGCGUAGUCC